UACAGAGGGUGCGAGCGUUAAUCGGAAUUACUGGGCGUAAAGCGCGCGUAGGUGGCUAUGCAAGUCGGAUGUGAAAUCCCCGGGCUCAACCUGGGAACUGCAUUCGAGACUGCAUUGCUAGAGUAUGGGAGAGGGAAGUGGAAUUUCCGGUGUAGCGGUGAAAUGCGUAGAUAUCGGAAGGAACAUCAGUGGCGAAAGCGACUUCCUGGACCAAUACUGACGCUCAUGUGCGAAAGCGUGGGGAGCAAACAGG
rnacentral:rRNA from 1 species